rnacentral:rRNA from 1 species
AACGCGAAGAACCUUACCAACCCUUGACAUCCUGUGCUACAUCCAGAGAUGGAUGGUUCCCUUCGGGGACGCAGUGACAGGUGCUGCAUGGCUGUCGUCGGCUCGUGUCGUGAGAUGUUCGGUUAAGUCCGGCAACGAGCGCAACCCACAUCCCUAGUUGCCAGCAGUUCGGCUGGGCACUCUAUGGAAACUGCCCGUGAUAAGCGGGAGGAAGGUGUGGAUGACGUCAAGUCCUCAUGGCCCUUACGGGUUGGGCUACACACGUGCUACAAUGGUAGUGACAAUGGGUUAAUCCCAAAAAGCUAUCUCAGUUCGGAUUGUCGUCUGCAACUCGACGGCAUGAAGUCGGAAUCGCUAGUAAUCGCGUAACAGCAUGACGCGGUGAAUACGUUCCCGGGUCUUGUACACACCG